rnacentral:lncRNA from 10 species
UUCCGCUCCCAGAGUGCCUCGCGCGGCGGGCCCGGAUCUUCGCCACCGCCGUCAUUUGUGGGCGGAGAAAGGGCUGGAGAAAGGCGGGAAUCGCCCCUCGUCCCUCGCCGUGCGUUUCCCUGGACUUAAGGGCCGAAGGGACACCGGCGACUUGACCUCCUGGUAUUGGCCUGUACCGUCACCUGCAGAGGCUUUUCGCCUCAAUUCCUUCCCAGCACCCUCCCCCCGCCACCCCCCCAAAGUAAAUAGUUGACAGUUUACUUUUCUACCACCCGGAAGAAGUUCACUUUUGCUUCAGGUCAAAAUCCUCCGCGAUUUCUGAGAGGAACUUUAAAUCUCUAACAUAAGAGCACGCUUUUAAUGUAAUUUGGUAAUUUAUCUCAUUCUCGUUUUCAUUGCCGGGGGAAUUUCUCCUUUAUCUUUACUGUGGACACUUUGCAAUGAACGUGGCAACCUGCAGGUUUCCACCUGUCGUUAUAUUACUGCGUAACUAGGGCUAGAAGAACGCAAUUGUGCCGUUGCUUUUGAAAUCAAAAUUUACAGAAGCGUUGAAGAAAAGACGGAAGGAAGGCAGUAAGGAAGUAUGUUGUGAUAUGUAGCUAGGAAAGAGAAGACUAAGGUAGACAAAGACUUAAGCUUAUUUGCAGGAGGCAAAUUAUAAGAAAAAUCAUACAGGUUUAUAUCGUCUCAUUUGAAGUUGCUGUUUCUGUAAACGAAAACAGUACUUAAGCAACCUGAAUUAUUUACUUAUAUUUUGUUCUGUUUUUAAACAAUUUUUGCUUUCCCUUUAUCACCAGAGGAUUUUCCCAACAUUUUGGCCUCUUGUCUUUUUAAGGUGGACUUCCUGAUCUCCAAAUGUCAAGGGACACACUCAGUCUCUCUUAUUUGUGGGUGGUGAAAAACAUUAGCAAAGAUUAGACUGAAAUUUGGCCACCAAUGAGAGACAUUAAUGUAGUCAGGAGUUUGAAUUUGUCUGCAUGUGAAUUUAUCUUUGUCUUCUGUCUGCAACUUGGCUUUAUUUUCAGAUUUUCUGCUAGAUCUGCAAGGAAGUAAAUGGCAGGAUAUGCUUAAUAUUCAUAAUUAAUUGAAGAGACUCAAUGCUAUCUUUAUUUUUUCAUUUUUUUUUUUGGUACAGUUGGUGUCUCACUAUGUUGUCCAAGCUGGUCUUAAACCCCCAGCCUCAAGCAAUCCUCCCACCUCAGCCUCCCAAACUGCUGGGAUUACAGGUGUGAGCUACUGUGCCUGGCCAUUCAUUCUUAAUUAUAACUAGAAAGAUAUAAGGGUUAUGUUAAUGGGGAAAGAAAACUAAGAAUUAUUGAAUCUAUUGAGUGCCUAUAAUAUGCCAGCCCUGGUUCAGACGCAAAUAUUUAAUCCUUUUAAUUAAUGCUUCUCAAACUUUGAUAUGCUUACAAAUCACCAGGGGACCUUGUUAAAAUUCAGAUUCUGAUUCUGUAGGUCUGAGAUGGGACCUGAAAUUCUGAGCUUCUAACAAGCUUUCAGGUGAGGCCCAUGCUGUGUUAACAAGGCUUGUAACAACCUUACGAAGUCGGUAUUUUCUCAUUACAAAUGAAAAUUGUUGCUCAAAUGUUGCUCUCGAGGUGGGCUUUUUCUCACGCUUUGAAAAAAUUUUGUCUUUCUCCCCCUAAUGUGUUUCUGCUUUAGUUUUCUCCAUAGUUUUUACCACUUGUGAAUAGUUUGUAGAAUUUACUUAUUCUGUUCAUUCUUUGUCUCUCAUUAGAAUGUAA